UGGGGAAUAUUCCGCAAUGGACGAAAGUCUGACGGAGCAACGCCGCGUGAGUGAUGAAGGUUUUCGGACUGUAAAGCUCUGUUGUUUAGGACGAAAGUGCCUGUUGCAAACAGUUACAGGUAUUGACGGUACUAAACGAGGAAGCCACGGCUAACUACGUGCCAGCAGCCGCGGUAAUACGUAGGUGGCAAGCGUUGUCCGGAAUUAUUGGGCGUAAAGAGCAUGUAGGCGGGAAUCUAAGUCUGUUGUGAAAAUGCGGGGCUCAACCCCGUAUUGCGAUGGAAACUGGGUUUCUUGAGUGCAGGAGAGGAAAGGGGAAUUCCCAGUGUAGCGGUGAAAUGCGUAGAUAUUGGGAGGAACACCAGUGGCGAAGGCGCCUUUCUGGACUGUGUCUGACGCUGAGAUGCGAAAGCCAAGGUAGCGAACGG
rnacentral:rRNA from 1 species